rnacentral:misc_RNA from 1 species
CUAAGGAGUUUUUGUUGUGUGUGCCCUGUGGUUGGUGGGGUGCGCAUGGUUUUUCUAUGUUUUUGAUCAACUGUGUGUUGUGUGUUGUUUGUGUGUGUUGGUGCAUUGUUGGGUGUCUGAGGUGACUGUUGUUGCUUCAACCCGGACCAUUCCUGGUGGGGAUCGCUGUGUUGUGGUUUCUGUGUGGGGGUGGGGUGUUGUUUGAGAACUGUAUAGUGGACGCGAAUGCGAUUUUUUAACUGAUUCUUCUUUUUUGUGGACGCCGCCCGUACUGUGGUGCGGGUUGGUUGCUUGUGUUGUGUGU